rnacentral:rRNA from 1 species
UAGGGAAUCUUCCACAAUGGGCGAAAGCCUGAUGGAGCAACGCCGCGUGUGUGAUGAAGGUUUCGGCUCGUAAAACACUGUUGUAAGAGAAGAAUGACAUUGAGAGUAACUGUUCAAUGUGUGACGGUAUCUUACCAGAAAGGAACGGCUAAAUACGUGCCAC